rnacentral:rRNA from 1 species
AAGACUAACUACUGCGAAAGCAUUUGCCAAGGAUGUUUUCAUUAAUCAGUGAACGAAAGUUAGGGGAUCGAAGACGAUCAGAUACCGUCGUAGUCUUAACCAUAAACUAUGCCGACUAGGGAUCGGGCGAUGUUAUCUUUUUGACUCGCUCGGCACCUUACGAGAAAUCAAAGUUUUUGGGUUCUGGGGGGAGUAUGGUCGCAAGGCUGAAACUUAAAGAAGUUGACGGAAGGGCACCACCAGGAGUGGAGCCUGCGGCUUAAUUUGACUCAACACGGGGAAAC